rnacentral:rRNA from 1 species
CUGGAACGGAGAUAUACGUAUACGCCCUUUGGGGGAAAGAUUUAUCGGAGAAGGAUCGGCCCGCGUUAGAUUAGGUAGUUGGUGGGGGUAACUGGCCUACCAAGGCCCUUACGAUCUAUAAGCUGGGUUUUAGAAGGAUGAUCAGCAACACUGGGACUGAGACACGGCCCAGACUCCUACGGGAGGCAGCAGUGGGGAAUCUUAGACAAUGGGGGCAACCCUGAUCUAGCCAUGCCCGCAGGUUGUAGGCUUGAGUUGGAAAAAAAAAGGGCACCUAUAGAGGGUCGUAAAGCUCUUUCGCCUGUGAUGAUAAUGACAGUAGCAAGGUAAAGAAACCCCGGCUAACUCCGUGCCAGCAGCCGCGGUAAUACGGAGGGAGGUUAGCGCUUGUUCGGAAUUACUGGGCGUAAAGCGCGCCGUAGAGCGGAUUAGAAAGUUGGGGGUGAAAUCCCCGGGAGCUCAACCUCCCGGAACUGCCUCCAAAACUGCGUAGUCUAGAGUUCGAGAGAGGUGAGUGGCAUUCCGAGUGUAGAGGUGAAAUUCGUAGAUAUUCGGAGGAACACCAGUGGCGAAGGCGGGUCACUGGCUCGAUACUGAACGCCUGAAAGGUGCCGAAAAGUGUGGGGGAGCCAAAACAGGGAAUAGGAUACCCUGG